UGCUUGGUGGCCAAUCGGAGGCCACUAAAACUGCGGCGGUAACCGGCCGGAUUCACAGCAGCCGCCCGCCCCCGCCCCGCCGAAGCGCCCCGUUUUUGCUGCAGCCCACGGGGGGUCGCCGGAGGGAAGCCUGGGGUUCGCGGAGCACCGCCGCGGCAGGUGGAGAGGCUGUGGGAAAUAAAAUAACUUGCGCAGGAACUUGAUUGGUGGCAGGUUCCUCUUUGGACAGCGAUGGGGAAUCAGAUUAGUAAUCGGAAGUAAUGCCUCCGUGGUAGCCUAACGCACACUUGUCUUUAUGUUUUGUCUUCUUGCGAGGUAGAUUAUUUUUCUGGGCCGGGGCGGACAGAACAAACUAGUGACGCAGGCAAAGCCUAUCCUGGCCCUAGUUGUCUGAGGCGCUUGCCACUAGCCACCUGCGAGCCCGUAGGGCGGAAGCCAAGGUCUCUCUGGGGUGCUCUUUCCUCUCCCACCUUUGUGGAUGUACCGGAACAGCCCAAGUUUGUGUUCUUGUUUUCUUUUGUUCCCUCUGGGAGUUUGAGAGUGCGUGUUAUUUUGUUUGAAAAAUCCUGUUUUAUAUUUCUACUCCUUAGUGGUACAGUUCAUAUUUUUUAGCAAUUUUAGGGACUUUGACCUCCACCUUACACCAACCCCAACAACAACAACGAAAAAAGAAAAGGAAAAGAAAGAGGGAAGCAACCUAAAAGCCAGAAGGCAGCGUGAAAAUAGGAUUAUCUAAAAGAUAAAAAUGACUGAUGCAGAGUUCACACCAAGUAAAGGAUUUUUACUUCCUCCUUUUAAGGCGGCAUGAACUUGGAGUGGGACACAAAAAGUGAGAGACUUUACAAGUUUGGGUCACAAGCAUUUGUGGAAUGGAGAAAGGGGUGAGGAGCAAUUGAUUUUGGCAAGUCAAAAAAUGUUUUCAUGAAAAAUACAACCAAGUAAGUAACGGGAAGUACAUGUGGUCAAGUAUGAAUCAAGGAGUCUAGUUUUCAUAGUUGAUUUCAUGAGACCUGCUCAAAGAUCACCUGUAUCUGAGAAAAUAAGGUUUUCAUGAUAUUUAAGAAAUCUACCCUCUACACCAGAAGCAUGGAUACAUACUGGCGAAUGUGGUGAAGGUGUUUCCUUUUGUCUGUGUCUCCCUCAUCUCAUGCCCGGCAGAGGAGAUACGAGGUGAAGAAGUAACCAAGUUAUAUCAGAGUGGCGGGACAGGCACAUUGCCAAGCCUUAGAUGAUCCCAGGCGGGAACAGUAGGCAUUGUUUGUCCGGAUGAACUGGCCCUUUAGCCAUAUAAGCAAUAUCUUUAUCACAGUAACUGCCAAACCCUCGCGGAACUGGUCAUUCCCUGGGGGGGAGGCAGGGAUAAGAAACUUGGCUCAAAGGUACAUCUAAAGAGAUAUAUAAGACAGACCUCAGUUGGCAGCUCAUUCGUCAUUCGUCGUCGUUCUGGUAUUGGCAUUGGAAACGUGUAUGCAGCUUGCAGUAUCAAGAGAUGCCCUGACUUCCAGCUGUGGACCUGGUACAGUCUGGCUGGUUCCUGACCUCUCCAGCAUUGCUUCCCCACUGUUUGGUGAGCUUCUUUGGCAUAACAUUGUUAUUAAUGUGCAUAGUUUAGUCUGAACUGCCUUUAUUGGGAGCUUGAAUGCAGCUUGCAGCUUGAAACAUGAGGGGACGUCCUGAUCUCCAGCCGCAGGCCUGGUGAGAUCUGAUCAGUUCCUGACCUCUCCAGUGUUGCUUUCCCAUGGUUUGAUGAGC